CAAAACUCAAGAUUAGACUUUCAUGUUUCUACACCACAAACAACAUGUUUAUAUUUUCAGGUCACAUUUUAGGAUGUAAAGACAUUUAACAAAGCGACUUUCAUUCCAUGUUAUUCUUACUCCGUACACUUGAUGGCCAAAAGAGCUUUAAUUGGUUACAGGAAAUGGAAGACGGGUGUGAGGAAUGAGCAAACCAAUUUUUUACAGUGAAGUGUGCAUUGAAAUAUGUGCGUAUGGAAUCAAGUAAAAGAGGAAAUGUGUCAAACUACAUUGCCUGACAACCCUGGUGUGACUGACUGGCAGUCACUUCAAUACAUGAGUCUCUGACUAUGUGCAAUCCGCUGGUGUCCAACCCUUCACCAUGCUAGUCACUAGAAGUCAAGAAAAAAACAACCUGACAGAA